rnacentral:rRNA from 1 species
UCCCGCNNGCCCAGNGACUCUUUAAACGGCCGCGGUAUCCUAACCGUGCAAAGGUAGCAUAAUCACUUGUCCCCUAAUUAGGGACUAGAAUGAACGGCUAAAUGAGGACAAAACUGUCUCUUACGGACAGGCCAAUGAAAUUGAUCUUCCAGUACAAAAGCUGGAAUAAACACAUAAGACGAGAAGACCCUGUGGAGCUUUAAAACCAAAAUCACCAAACAUGCUUCUUGGAUUUUUAGUUGGGGCGACUUUGGAGCAAAAAAAACCCUCCNNAAAUAAUAAACCCAUUUAUUAAGACCUACNCACCAAAAAAUAAUUUUAUCANACCCAGCA